rnacentral:lncRNA from 1 species
AGAAAUACUGAACCAACAGAAAAUACAUGAUUAUAGAAACAGAGAGGUACAUUUAAAUUAUCAUAUGAUGGGGUUGUCUUGGUUAACAUAGAACCUACCAGUGGAGUGGUAGAGCCGAAAACUGUAGAGAUGAUUAAAGUGGGUAUCUGUACGGAUGUACCGAGAAUCAUUAAAGAAGUGAUAAAAGGGGAUCUGUUUAAAAUAAUCACUAACACUUUCAGG